GAUGAACGCUGGCGGCGUGCCUAAUACAUGCAAGUCGAGCGAACUGAUUAGAAGCUUGCUUCUAUAACGUUAGCGGCGGACGGGUGAGUAACACGUGGGCAGCCUGCCUGUAAGACUGGGAUAACUUCGGGAAACCGAAGCUAAUACCGGAUAGGAUCUUCUCCUCCAUGGGAGAUGAUUGAAAGAUGGUUUCGGCUAUCACUUACAGAUGGGCUCGCGGUGCAUUAGCUAGUUGGUGAGGUAACGGCUCACCAAGGCAACGAUGCAUAGCCGACCUGAGAGGGUGAUCGGCCACACUGGGACUGAGACACGGCCCAGACUCCUACGGGAGGCAGCAGUAGGGAAUCUUCCGCAAUGGACGAAAGUCUGACGGAGCAACGCCGCGUGAGUGAUGAAGGCUUUCGGGUCGUAAAACUCUGUUGUUAGGGGAGAACAAGUACAAGAGUAACUGCUUGUACCUUGACGGUACCUAACCAGAAAGCCACGGCUAACUACGUGCCAGCCGCCGCGGUAACAC
rnacentral:rRNA from 1 species